GACGGAGGAUGCAAGCGUUAUCCGGAAUGAUUGGGCGUAAAGCGUCUGCAGGUGGCAGUUCAAGUCUGCUGUCAAAGACCGGGGCUUAACUUCGGAAAGGCAGUGGAAACUGAACAGCUAGAGUAUGGUAGGGGCAGAGGGAAUUCCUGGUGUAGCGGUGAAAUGCGUAGAGAUCCGGAAGAACACCGGAGGCGAAGGCGGCUUGCUGGGCGUAGUCUGACGCUGAGGCGCGAAAGCGUGGGGAGCGAACAGG
rnacentral:rRNA from 1 species